rnacentral:rRNA from 1 species
GACGAACGCUGGCGGCGUGCUUAACACAUGCAAGUCGAACGGAAAGGCCCUGCCUUUGUGGGGUGCUCGAGUUGCGAACGGGUGAGUAACACUUGAGUAACCUGCCCUUGACUUUGGGAUAACUUCAGGAAACUGGGGCUAAUACCGGCUAGGAGCUCCUGCUGCAUGGUGGGGGUUGGAAAGUUUCGGCGGAUGGGGAUGGACUCGCCGCUUAUCAGCUUGUUGGGUGGGUAGUGGCUUACCAAGACUUUGACCGGUGGCCGGCCUGAGAGGCUAACCGGCCAAAUUGGGACUGAGAUACGGCACGGACUACUACGGGACGCAGCAGUGGGGAAGAUUGCACAAUGGGCGGAAGCAUGAUGCAGCAAAGCAGCGUGCGGGAUGACGGCAUUCGGGUUGUAAAGCGCAUUCGCCUGUGCCGAGGCGAGAGUGACGGUAAUGGGUAAAGAAGCACCGGCUAACUACGUG